GACGAACGCUGGCGGCGUGCUUAACACAUGCAAGUCGAACGGAAAGGCCCUGCUUUUGUGGGGUGCUCGAGUGGCGAACGGGUGAGUAACACGUGAGUAACCUGCCCUUGACUUUGGGAUAACUUCAGGAAACUGGGGCUAAUACCGGAUAGGAGCUCCUGCUGCAUGGUGGGGGUUGGAAAGUUUCGGCGGUUGGGGAUGGACUCGCGGCUUAUCAGCUUGUUGGUGGGGUAGUGGCUUACCAAGGCUUUGACGGGUAGCCGGCCUGAGAGGGUGACCGGCGACACUGGGACUGAGAUACGGCCGAGACGCCUACGGGAGGCAGCAGUGGGGAAUAUUGCACAAUGGGCGGAAGCCUGAUGCAGCAACGCCGCGUGCGGGAUGACGGCCUGCGGGUUGUAAACCGCUUUCGCCUGUGACGAAGCGUGAGUGACGGUAAUGGGUAAAGAAGCACCGGCUAACUACGUG
rnacentral:rRNA from 1 species